rnacentral:rRNA from 1 species
UCUUUUCCUUUUUUUCCCUCAGCCGCGGUAAUACGGAGGAUGCGAGCGUUAUCCGGAUUUAUUGGGUUUAAAGGGAGCGCAGACGGGUCGUUAAGUCAGCUGUGAAAGUUUGGGGCUCAACCUUAAAAUUGCAGUUGAUACUGGCGUCCUUGAGUGCGGUUGAGGUGUGCGGAAUUCGUGGUGUAGCGGUGAAAUGCUUAGAUAUCACGAAGAACUCCGAUUGCGAAGGCAGCACACUAAUCCGUAACUGACGUUCAUGCUCGAAAGUGUGGGUAUCAAACAGG